rnacentral:piRNA from 1 species
UGCUUAGCGGGUGAGACCUGCGAUCCUU